GCCCAACAAAUGUUUAUUGAGCACCUACUAUGUGCCGUGCCCUGUGCUGGGUGGGGGAAAAUGAUGUGAACAAAACAAAACAACGUGCUGCUGAGGUUAAGAUGCUCACAGGGCCAAGACUUUCAAAGGUCACAUUCCCCAGUGGACCAGAACUCUCAGGCUGGAAGUAGGGGGAGGUUGUGAGGGCCAGAGGAGAAACAGGAUGAUGGUGGCUCCUCCUACCUCAGGGGUUUGAAAAUCUGGCCCGGGCAGUUUCUGGCACCCUGGCUGUGCAAGCUGAGAGCCUGGCUGGAACCAAGAUAGACGCGUGACUGUCCACAGCUGCCCCAACAGUGAGACGGGUCUGCUCCUGUUCUCUUCCAUACAGUGCUGAAGUCACAAGCUAUGAGCUAGUGUUCCCUCGGUAGCCCAGGGUCCUUGGGGGACGUAUGAGGAGAUGAUGUGCACUGGAGGCCUGUGGAGUCACUGCUGGGGAAUGACAGGCUGCACACUUGGGCCUCCGAGGCACCUCUGGCUGGGCUCGCCUUUCAGAGUUUCAGCCGAGCCUGGAAUCACUCCAGGGACAAAGGAGACACAUCUGCCAACGUCUGCCCAACUCUCCUUGGCCACGGGAGCCCAGGACCAGCCAUAAGUGGGCAGGAGCCAGGGGCCGUGUGGCGAAUGGGGCUGCGGCGGAGGCCUUGGGACGUGCAUGGGUCAGCAGAGGCCCUUGAAGUCCUGGGCGGGUGGGGCCGUCCCAAGGCCCUCGCUGAGGGGCUGGGUACAAUGAGGCCUGUGUCGGGACUUGCCGAACUGCACCUGCGCUGUAGCUCGGUAUCCUUUGUGGGAGGCAGGGGUUUACCCUUGAUAAUCCCCUCCCCCGCCCAGCCCAAUCCUAGCUCUGGCCUGUGGCCUUGCAUCCCAUGAAAGUUUCUAUGGGACAAGGUUAGAAGGGGCUGCGCUGCCUGGUGGGAGACAGGUCCACAG
rnacentral:lncRNA from 10 species